CUUAACACAUCCAAGUACGGGGCGCUCGCAAGAGCAACCUUCGAACGGGUGCGUAACACGUGAGCAACCUACCGAUUUGUGGGGGAUAGCUGGCCUAACGGCCAGGUAAUACCGCAUACGAUGUUCGGCCCGCAUGGGCCGAACAUCAAAGCCUAUGGGCGCAAAUCGAGGGGCUCGCUGGUCUAUCAGCUAGUUGGCGGAGGGCAUGGCUCACCAAGGCUGACGACGGGUAGCUGGUCUGAGAGGAUGGCCAGCCACAUUGGGACUGAGAAACGGCCCAGACUCCUACGGGAGGCAGCAGUGGGGAAUCUUGCGCAAUGGACGAAAGUCUGACGCAGCGACUGCCGCCGUGGGGGAUGAAGGCUUUCGGGUUGUAAACCCCUGUUGCCCGGGACGAACUUCCUGUUUCGACAGGAUUGACGGUACCGGGUGAGGAAGCACCGGCUAACUCUGUGCCAGCAGCCGCGGUAAUACAGAGGGUGCGAGCGUUGUCCGGAAUCACUGGGCGAAAGGGCGCGUAGGUGGCGCGACAAGUCCGUGGUGAAAGUUCGACGCUCACCGUCGAAUCGGCCACGGAUACUGUUGGGCUCGAGCACUUGUAGAGGCAGAUGGAAUUCCCGGGUUGUAGCGGUUGGAAUGCGUAGAGAUCCGGAAGAACACCGGUGACGAAGGCCGGUCUGCUGGGCCAGUUUGCUGACACUGAGGCGCGACAGCGGUGGGGAGCAAACAAGGAUUAGAUCCCCUGGUAGUCCACCCCGUAAACGAUGGGCCACUAGAUGCUUUGGGGGGAAGCGACCCCCUGAAGUGGUCAACCCCUAACCCAUUAAGUUGGCCCCCGCCUGGGGGGAGUACGGGCCGCAAAGGCUGAAACUCAAAGAAAUUUGACGGGGGCCGCACAAGCCGGUGGAGCAUGUGGUUUAAUUCGACGCAACGCGAAGACCUUACCUAGGCUUGACAUACACGGGAAACUGACCAGAAACGGUCGGCCCUCUUCGGAGCCCGUGCACAGGUGCUGCAUGGCUGUCGUCAGCUCGUGUCGUGAGAUGUUGGGUUAAGUCCCGCAACGAGCGCAACCCCCGUUCUCAGUUGCCAGCGCGUUAUGGCGGGGACUCUGGGAAGACUGCCGGUGCCAAACCGGAGGAAGGUGGGGACGACGUCAAGUCAUCAUGGUCCUUACGUCUAGGGCUACACACGUGCUACAAUGGCCGGUACAGCGGGUCGCAAGCGCGCGAGCGUGAGCCAAUCCCACAAAGCAAGCCUCAGUGCGGAUUGGAGGCUGCAACUCGCCUCCAUGAAGCUGGAAUCGCUAGUAAUCGUGGAUCAGCUACGCCACGGUGAAUACGUUCCCGGGCCUUGUACACACCGCCCGUCACGCCAUGGAAGCUGUGAGCGCCCGAAGUCCGUGUCGGAACCCGCAAGGGACCAAGCGGCCGAAGGCGAG
rnacentral:rRNA from 1 species